rnacentral:tRNA from 1 species
GGUCGGGUAGCUCAGCUGGAUAGAGCAUCUGCCUUCUAAGCAGACGGUCAAGGGUUCGAAUCCCUUCCCGAUCACCA